AGAGUUGGAUCCUGGCUCAGGAUGAACUUUUGGCGGCCUGCCUAACACAUGGAAGUCGAACGGUUAAACCGCCCUUCGGGGCGGACAUACAGUGGCGAACUGGUGAGUAACACGUGGACCAACUUGCCCCGCACCCCGGGACAACCGCCGGAAACGGCGGCUAAUACCGGAUACUCUCCGAGGCGUGCAUGCGCCACGGAGGAAAGCUCCGACGGUGCGGGAUGGGGUCGCGGCCCAAUUAGGUAGUAGGCGGGGCAACGGCCCACCUAGCCUGCGAUGGGUAGCCGGCCUGAGAGGGCGAUCGGCCACAUUGGGACUGAGAUACGGCCCAGACUCCUACGGGAGGCAGCAGUGGGGAAUAUUGCGCAAUGGGGGAAACCCUGACGCAGCAACGCCGCGUGCGGGAUGACGGCCUUCGGGUUGUAAACCGCUUUCAGCAGGGAAGAACAUCGACGGUACCUGCAGAAGAAGCCCCGGCUAACUACGUGCCAGCAGCCGCGGUAAUACGUAGGGGGCGAGCGUUAUCCGGAUUCAUUGGGCGUAAAGCGCGCGUAGGCGGGUGCCUAAGCGGGACCUCUAACCUCGGGGCUCAACCCCGAGCCGGGUCCCGAACUGGGCGCCUCGAGUGCGGUAGGGGAGAUCGGAAUUCCCGGUGUAGCGGUGGAAUGCGCAGAUAUCGGGAAGAACACCGAUGGCGAAGGCAGAUCUCUGGGCCGCCACUGACGCUGAGGCGCGAAAGCUAGGGGAGCGAACAGGAUUAGAUACCCUGGUAGUCCUAGCCGUAAACGAUGGGGACUAGGUGGGGAGAAGGGAUUGCUCUCCAUGCCGCAGACAAAGCAUUAAGAGUCCCGCCUGGGGGAGUACGGCCGCAGGGCUAAAACUCAAAGGAAUUGACGGGGGCCCGCACAAGCAGCGGAACCAUGUGGCUUAAUUCGAAGCAACGCGAAGAACCUUACCAGGGCUUGACAUGAGAGUGAAGCCGGGGAGACCCGGUGGCCGAGAGGAGCUCGCGCAGGUGGUGCAUGGCUGUCGUCAGCUCGUGUCGUGAGAUGUUGGGUUAAGUCCCGCAACGAGCGCAACCCCCGUCCCGCGUUGCCAGCAUUAGGUUGGGGACUCGCGGGAGACUGCCGGCGUCAAGCCGGAGGAGGGUGGGGACGACGUCAAGUCAUCAUGCCCCUUAUGCCCUGGGCUGCACACGUGCUACAAUGGCCGGUACAGAGGGUUGCCACCCCGCGAGGGGGAGCGGAUCCCG
rnacentral:rRNA from 1 species